rnacentral:rRNA from 1 species
UACAGAGGUCUCGAGCGUUGUUCGGAUUCAUUGGGCGUAAAGGGUGCGUAGGUGGCGCCGUAAGUCGGGGUGUGAAAUUUCGGAGCUUAACUCCGAAACUGCAUUCGAUACUGCGGUGCUUGAGGACUGGAGAGGAGACUGGAAUUCAUGGUGUAGCAGUGAAAUGCGUAGAGAUCAUGAGGAAGACCAGUGGCGAAGGCGGGUCUCUGGACAGUUCCUGACACUGAGGCACGAAGGCCAGGGGAGCAAACGGG